UACGGGGGGGGCAAGCGUUGUUCGGAAUUACUGGGCGUAAAGGGCUCGUAGGCGGCCAACUAAGUCCGACGUGAAAUCCCAAGGCUUAACCUUGGAACUGCGUCGGAUACUGGAUGGCUUGAAUUCGGGAGAGGGAUGCAGAAUUCCAGGUGUAGCGGUGAAAUGCGUAGAUAUCUGGAGGAACACCGAUGGCGAAGGCAGGUCUCUGGGCCACUACUGACGCUGAGAAGCGAAAGCAUGGGGAGCGAACAGG
rnacentral:rRNA from 1 species